GACGAACGCUGGCGGCGUGCCUAAUACAUGCAAGUCGAACGCUUCCUACCGGUGCUUGCACCGGGAAAGAAGAGUGGCGGACGGGUGAGUAACACGUGGGUAACCUACCUACAAGCGGGGGAUAACAUUCGGAAACGGAUGCUAAUACCGCAUAGAUCUUUUUGUCUCCUGGCAGAAAGAAGAAAGACGGUUUCGGCUGUCACUUGUAGAUGGACCCGCGGCGCAUUAGUUAGUUGGUGAGGUAAUGGCUCACCAAGACGAUGAUGCGUAGCCGACCUGAGAGGGUGAUCGGCCACACUGGGACUGAGACACGGCCCAGACUCCUACGGGAGGCAGCAGUAGGGAAUCUUCCGCAAUGGACGAAAGUCUGACGGAGCAACGCCGCGUGAGUGAAGAAGGUUUUCGGAUCGUAAAACUCUGUUGUUAGAGAAGAACAAGGAUGAGAGUAACUGCUCGUCCCUUGACGGUAUCUAACCAGAAAGCCAUGGCUAACUACGUGCCAGCCGCCGCCGUAA
rnacentral:rRNA from 1 species